rnacentral:rRNA from 1 species
GUGCCAGCCGCCGCGGUAAUACGGGGGGGACUAGUGUUAUUCGUAUUGAUUUGGCGUAAAGGGCACGUAGGCUGUUCGCUAAGUUAUAGGUAAAAUCCCUUGGCUUAACCUAGGAAGGUCCUAUAAUACUGGCGAACUUGAGUUUGAUAGAGGAUAGUAGAAUUUCUAGUGUAAGGAUAAAAUCUAUAAAUAUUAGAAGGAAUACCAGAAGCGAAGGCGACUAUCUGGAUCAAUACUGACGCUGAGGUGCGAAAGCGUGGGGAGCAAACAGGAUUUGAGACCCUGGUAGUCCACGCUGUAAACGAUGUAUGUUAAAUGUCGGGAUAAUUCUCGGUGUUACAGCUAACGCGUUAAACAUACCGCCUGGGAAGUAUAAUCGCAAGGUUGAAACUUAAAGGAAUUGGCGG